rnacentral:rRNA from 1 species
UACAGAGGGUGCAAACGUUGCUCGGAUUCACUGGGCGUAAAGGGCACGUAGGUGGCCCGAUAACUCAGUCGUGGAAUCCCGCCGCUCACCGGUGGAAUUGCGACUGAAAAUGUCGGGCUUGAGAGCAGGAGGGGUGAGAGGAACUCUAGGUGGAGCGGUGAAAUGCGUAGAUAUCUAGAGGAACGCCGGAGGCGAAAGCGUCUCACUGGCCUGCUUCUGACACUGAGGUGCGAAAGCCAGGGGAGCAAACGGG